UGGGGUGUAGCUCAAUUGGCAGAGCGCCUGGCUGUUAACCAGGAGGUUGGAGGUUCAAACCCUCCCGCCCCAG
rnacentral:tRNA from 1 species